rnacentral:lncRNA from 1 species
UACAGUUUUUUCAAAUAUACACAUCGUCAAGUGUUCAGCAUAACAUCACUGUUUCGCUCGCAGUACCUUUCGGCGAUUUGCCUUCACGCUCCUGUGCGUCAAAAACGUGAAAGUUCAAAAGCGGCAACGUCGAAAUGAACACUUAGCUAAUAAUUCAAUAAUGUCUGUAGAUAUUGUGGGAGCUGACAGACAAGACUAAUAUGCCACCAAGAACACGUUUAAAUACUUAAAACAUUUCAUUCUUCGAUCAAAAUAACAAUGUAAUAAUCUGUAAAUAAAUUGAAUUCAUGUUUCACACGAAGGCCCGUUCACGUUUUGUGUCAAAUCGGAUCCCCUUUGCUACAGUUUUCGCGCACUACACGAGGUGACUUGGCAGCACAAAGCAUUGGGAAAUGCAUGACAACUAUGAACGGGACCAAGACACGUUGAGCUUGGCAGAGGAGAAAUGUGAUCUUCAAAUUGCAGAAUCCGAGGGGGAGUCUCAGGCAUUCCAAAGUGAGGAAGUGGAUUCAGAUGUAGUAUCUGUGAGAAAGUACUGACAUGUAAAGGUGGAUAUACUGUUCAUCAGCAGAUGACUUGAAGUCAAAAGGUACCACCAGUUUUUAAAACGGAGACCAUUCAGUCAUUUCUACAGAUUUCCAAGCACGAAUGCUCUUAUGUUCAGCUGAGAAAAAAAUGAUGAACAAGCAGAAAAUACAGCAGCAAAGGACAAGGAAGAGAUGGCACACAUUUUAAGAAUGAAAUUAACUUAAUAAAUAUUCAGAUCAUUUCUAAGGGAUGUUACAUUUGGGAAUUCACUUUUCCAGUAUAGUACAGAUACUAGUACUUUGCUGGUAGAGGGUGGAGUGAAUCCCUUGUGUGAUUUGAACCAACCCUCUAAAGGUGAAACACCUUAUCACAGAACAACAUUGUUAGCAAUUUAACCUGACAAAUGUUAGUCAAGGUCUCGAUCAGAGAAGUGUAAAUGCCACAAUUACAAUUUUUUGCAAAGUUAUGCAAAUAAGAAUGUCAAAACUAUUUGGUUUAAUAAAUAGUAAUUAUUAAACUUA